AGCCGCGCUGUAAGCACAGAACGAACUAUUCUUUCGCCUUUUACUAAAGAAUACCGUGUGCUCGCCGCAGAUUGUGGCAUACACCUAUUUUUGGAGGAUUCUUUUUCUUAGGGAAG
rfam:Ricinus communis ctg_1100012360676, whole genome shotgun sequence.